CCAUGACCUGGUGGAAGGGGCCGCUCACCGGUUUCGACCUGGAGACCACCGGCACCGACCCGGAGGAGUCCCGGAUCGUCACCGCCGCCGUGGUC
rnacentral:tRNA from 1 species